ACGUGUUUUAAAUAUACUUCAUCUCAAAUUUGAGAACCGAAUUAAAACAUUUUAAAAAUUAAAGAUGAAUUUAAAAUCUGCAUUGUAUAGGCACAAAUCUGCCCAGGCCUGUACAAACAUAAACCAAAAUAAUAAUAAAAACAAAAUUUUUAAUAGUUCAAGUCCCUUUAUUACAUCAGCCCAAAUAUGCCAAAAUAAAACAAAAACCCAAAACAUAAAUUGAAACAGUCCAAAAUUAAGACCCAACUACACCCAAAACCUAAAACCUAGCCCAAAAGGUAUACAAAGCCCAACUGGCCCAAAACCCAAACACUAGGAAACCCUAGGUCACCCUUUUGCGCUGCAACAGCUUUGUAUGACCGCCAGCCCUGCCACAUAUGCCUUCGUACCCUCCAUACACGCACCAUACACACCAUGUACCUGCAAACAAACAAGAGAACAACACCAAAUAGGAAAGAAAAUAGAAAAAACUUGUAUUUUUUUCUUUAUUUUUUUUAUUCUUUUGGCUAUAAAGCCCAAAAACAAAUCAAUGUAUUUUCUUUACAUGCACAUAGCAAUAAAAAACAACAAGAAAUCAAAAGAGGUGAUUUGCUCUCUUUUUUAAAAACUUAUCAUAGCAUUUCGUUUUUUUUUCUUGACUAUUCUUCUAUUUCUUUUUGUUUCUUCAUUUACAAAGAAGAAAAUAAAAAAAAAAAAGAAGAGGAUAAAGGGGAAAGUUUCACCUGAACCAUUAGUAUACUGUCGGAGUUUCUUCUCUGUUAAAGCCCAAAUCCAACGGAGGUGGAGACCUCCUUCUUUUGAUUCCUUACGAUUGAAGGUGCUAUGAAUACGGAUUUAAACAAGUCCGAAUGAGGUAAUCUACCCUUCGUUUACCACCAUUUGUGGUGGUUGUAUGGCGGCUAGGGUUUGGCCUUUGAGAAUCGACUAAAAGGAGGGGAAUUAUGGUUUUGAGGGGAAUUAUGGUUUUGUUUCAAUGGUUUGAAGAAAAUGGCAGAUUGCCAUUAAAAUGCUUCUUUUAAUUUUGGAUGAUAAAUAAAACAGCACCAUUUAUGGGGAGGGGGGAUCCGCGUGCCAACCCUCUCCAUUACCCAGAUCCGGGCCUUUGCGCUUUAAGUGGGAAAUUUCGCAGCAAGUCCUUCCUUUUUUUGCUGGCUUUUAAUUAGCCCUUAUUCACAUUUUAUUUGUUUUAAAUUUUUCCAGGAAUUUGCGCGCCAAUUCAAUUGGGUCUGCGCCUAAACGUUGCGUUUUAAGAUUUGGAACAUUUGCACUUUUAAUCCUCGGACAUUUGUGCGCGUUGUGUUUUAAUCCUUAAUUAUUUUUAUUACUUUCUUUAUUUGUAAAUUGUCCACUUGGUUUUAUUUUUAUUUCAAUUGAGUUUUUAUUAUUAUUUCAAUU
rnacentral:lncRNA from 1 species